rnacentral:rRNA from 1 species
AGAGUUUGAUCCUGGCUCAGGAUGAACGCUAGCUACAGGCUUAACACAUGCAAGUCGAGGGGCAGCAUGGUCUUAGCUUGCUAAGGCCGAUGGCGACCGGCGCACGGGUGAGUAACACGUAUCCAACCUGCCGUCUACUCUUGGACAGCCUUCUGAAAGGAAGAUUAAUACAAGAUGGCAUCAUGAGUCCGCAUGUUCACAUGAUUAAAGGUAUUCCGGUAGACGAUGGGGAUGCGUUCCAUUAGAUAGUAGGCGGGGUAACGGCCCACCUAGUCUUCGAUGGAUAGGGGUUCUGAGAGGAAGGUCCCCCACAUUGGAACUGAGACACGGUCCAAACUCCUACGGGAGCAGCA